rnacentral:rRNA from 1 species
CAAAUGGAGAGUUUGAUCCUGGCUCAGGAUGAACGCUGGCGGCAUGCCUAAUACAUGCAAGUCGAACGAGAGGAAGGAAAGCUUGCUUUCCUAAAUCUAGUGGCGAACGGGUGAGUAACACGUAGGUAACCUGCCCAUGUGCCCGGGAUAACUUCUGGAAACGGAUGCUAAAACCGGAUAGGUAGCAGACAAGCAUUUGACUGCUAUUAAAGUGGCUAAGGCCAUGAACAUGGAUGGACCU